rnacentral:rRNA from 1 species
AACGAACGCUGGCGGCAGGCUUAACACAUGCAAGUCGAACGCCCCGCAAGGGGAGUGGCAGACGGGUGAGUAACGCGUGGGAAUCUACCUAGUUCUACGGAACAACAGAGGGAAACUUCUGCUAAUACCGUAUACGCCCUAAGGGGGAAAGAUUUAUCGGAAUUAGAUGAGCCCGCGUAAGAUUAGCUAGUUGGUGGGGUAAUGGCCUACCAAGGCGACGAUCUUUAGCUGGUCUGAGAGGAUGAUCAGCCACACUGGGACUGAGACACGGCCCAGACUCCUACGGGAGGCAGCAGUGGGGAAUAUUGGACAAUGGGCGCAAGCCUGAUCCAGCCAUGCCGCGUGAGUGAUGAAGGCCUUAGGGUUGUAAAGCUCUUUCAGUGGGGACGAUAAUGACGGUACCCACAGAAGAAGCCCCGGCUAACUUCGUGCCAGCAGCCGCCGUAA